rnacentral:tRNA from 1 species
CUGGGGCUGGCUUAGUGGUACAGUACUUGCCUAGCAUGCAUGAAGCCCGGGGUUUAAUUCCUCAGUCCCACA